rnacentral:rRNA from 1 species
AGAGUUUGAUUCUGGCUCAGGAUGAACGCUGGCGGCGUGCCUAACACAUGCAAGUCGGACGGAGUUACGAGAGCUUGCUUCUGUAACUUAGUGGCGGACGGGUGAGUAAUGUAUGAGCAACCUGCCUUUCAGAGGGGGACAACAGUUGGAAACGACUGCUAAUACCGCAUAAUGUGCGAGAGGGGCAUCCCUUUCGUACCAAAGGAGCAAUCCGCUGAAAGAUGGGCUCAUAUCUGAUUAGUUAGUUGGCAGGGUAACGGCCUACCAAGACUGCGAUCAGUAGCCGGACUGAGAGGUUGAACGGCCACAUCGGGACUGAGAUACGGUCCAGACUCCUACGGGAGGCAGCAGUGGGGAAUAUUGGGCAAUGGGCGAAAGCCUCGACCCAGCAACGCCGCGUGAAGGAAGAAGGUCUUCGGACUGUAAACUUCUUUUAUGAGGGACGAAGGACGUGACGGUACCUCAUGAAUAAGCCACGGCUAACUACGUGCCAGCCGCCGC